rnacentral:rRNA from 1 species
CAGUCGCCGCGGGAAUACGAAGGUCCCGAGCGUUGUUCGGAAUCACUGGGCGUAAAGGGAGCGUAGGCGGCGUGGUAAGUCAGAUGUGAAAUCCCGGGGCUCAACCCCGGAACUGUAUCCGAUACUGCCGUGCUAGAGGAUUGGAGAGGUAGCUGGAAUUCUUGGUGUAGCAGUGAAAUGCGUGGAGAUCAAGAGGAACACUCGUGGCGAAAGCGAGCUACUGGACAAUAUCUGACGCUGAGGCUCGAAGGCCAGGGUAGCGAAAGGGAUUAGAGACCCCUGUAGUCCCUGUCUCUUAUAC